GGGCGCGUAGCUCAGCCCGGAUAGAGCGUCGGACUUCUAUCCUGGAGAGGGUCUCUCUCGAGGGAAGCCAUCCGACGGUCGUGGGUUCGAAUCCCACCGCGCCCG
rfam:Halorubrum sp. J07HR59 genomic scaffold scf7180000001382, whole genome shotgun sequence.